AACUUAUCGAGAGCGACCGAGGGACUAGGCCCUAUGACGUCCGGCAACCCCCUGUAUGGGAAGGUGCCAAUUCCUGCAGAAUGACUUUCAUUCUGAAAGAUAAGUC
rnacentral:ncRNA from 2 species